UGAAUCUACCCGAAUUCAAGCAUUUUAAUAUUUGACACAAAUUAUAACAACAAGGAGAGUUACAGAAGUAAGGCAUAAUAUCACUGAUUUACAAUGUAUAAUACUAAUAAUAGUAGUGUCCAGUCCACUUA